GGUGUUGUGGCUCAGCAGUAGAGCACUUGCCUAGCAAGUAUGAGGCACUGAGUUUGAGUCUCAGCAAUGCAU
rfam:Ictidomys tridecemlineatus contig047213, whole genome shotgun sequence.